UACACCCUUGAGGAGAAUGAUGUCACUUCCUGCAACAAAACAGGUCCUUCUAUUUUCUCAUAUCUUAGAUCAGGAAGCCAAUGUUUAAACAAAAAAAAAAAAAAUAGUAAACAAUCAGUACAAAGUAUGUUAUAUGGCCUUUGAUGCGGGGUCAGAUAGAUGUGAGCUUACUGGACAGGAAGACCCUGUUGUACUCUACAUGGUGAUUGAAAACAGCACCCUCCAGCAUGCCUUUAAAGAGGGUAUAUCAAAAAAACCACAGAAAAAGUCAGACUCAUUGAAUGAGGUGUCGUACACUCAUUCUGUAUGUUUGCAUUAGUGUGUUACUGAUCUAGUGAUGAAGUUCAAGCAGAAGUCUUGUUUUCUGGAGUUUGUUGUGCGCUUGCUCCAGAAGGCCCUGCUAGAAGAUGAGAUGGAUCUUGUGUUGCAGUAGGAGCAGAACAUCUUGAACUGGCUUAGCAGACGUGAUGAGGCUUUGUUCGGGCUAAAGAAGAACUCUAGGUCUACCAGGGGAGGAGUUUAAAGACUUCACAACCUCUGUAAUUGAGUACAAUACCAAA